rnacentral:rRNA from 1 species
GACGUAGGGGGCGAACGUUAUCCGGAAUUAUUGGGCGUAAAGGGUGCGUAGAUGGUUUGAUAAGUUAGUGGUGGGAAAUCGAGGCUCAACCUCGUGGAAGUCACUAAUACUAUCAAACUAGAGUGCAGGAGAGGUUAACGGAACUCCAUGUGUAGCGGUAAAAUGCGACGAUAUAUGGAUGAACACCAAUAACGGCGAAGGCAGUUAACUAUUCUGCUACUGACAUUGAGGCACGAAAGCGUGGGGAGCAAAACGG